AGCUAAAGAGGAUAAAGCCGGCUGUGGAGAAAUUUUGAGAGAUUUAGAGGGGAUUGCAAGAGGGAUAUUCUCUGGUGCUGCAGGUACAAAUAUUGCUGAGGAAGCUGAGAUUGAAGCGGUGAAAAUUGCUCUCGAAGUGUUUGAAUCGACAAGCUAGAAGUGUUCUAAUUCACUGGUAAUUGAAGUAGGCUCCGCGGUGGUGUUUUCUUGGUGUAUCAACAAGGGGUUGAGACCUUGGUGUGCAAGGUUGGAUCCAUUGUUUUCUCUUUGAUAGAUAGGAAUGGAAACGACCUGGCGUUCUCAUUGGCUUUGACUGGGGUAAAUAGUACUCAAAUGUUUAAAGCUUGGUGGUGAUUUUUGUUUUGUUUAAUACUUUAUUGCUGCUGGAACUAUGCAUUAAUUUUUGCUAUAUUUUUAUUUUUUGGAUACUAUUUUGCUUUGUUCCUAUCAACUGAGCAGUGUGAAUGUAGCAAAAAAAAGAAAAAAGAAAAGAGAGGGUACAACCUUAUCUACUCCAGUUAUCACUACGACAAAUAGUUUAUUUGUCAUAUUUGUAAGUUGACAAUUUUUGAAAUUUGAUAUUGUGGAAGUAUUCAAGCCUAUUAAUGAAAAUUAAUUUAUUUGGAGUAACACAUCUUAAAGAUUGGAUGAGUUCAGGUUGGAUCAUACAAAACAAAUCCCUUGGAUCAAAGAUGUUGGAUCGAGACAAACUUGGAAGGCUUAUCUCAAGCACUUCAAUUUACAUUGGUCUUUAAAAUUAUAUUGUAUAUUGUUAUUUUAGAUGUUGUUUAAUAUGGAACUGAAUGUAAUUGAUCUCUACUAUGUUAGCAAGUCUUGAAUUUUUAUAUAAUGAGAGACUUGUAUAGAUUUUGUAACGAAACUAAGAAAGCACUUAUUUAGUCAAUUGGGAACAUUUUUGUGAGAGUGCGUUUGAGAGAAUAAAACCUUUUGUUGUUGGGUUUUACAGCCUGAGUUCUCAUGGAGAGAACUUAGAGGUGAGAGAUCUAGUAUUUAGAUACAAAUGUGAGGUUGCUAUAGUGGAGUGUGAUAGGACUUAAAUCACUUCUUGUAUUGGGAUUAAAGAUAAUAGAUUCUUCUUACUAAGCUAGACUCCGUAAAUAUAAGAAAAUUGAAUUGCACAAACAAUUCAUUGUCUCUUUUUUUUUUAUUCUAUUUUACAUAGUUUCAUCUGAAGUGCCCACUUUUACUAUCCC
rnacentral:lncRNA from 1 species